GAUGAACGCUGGCGGCGUGCCUAAUACAUGCAAGUCGAGCGAACAGACGAGGAGCUUGCUCCUCUGACGUUAGCGGCGGACGGGUGAGUAACACGUGGAUAACCUACCUAUAAGACUGGGAUAACUUCGGGAAACCGGAGCUAAUACCGGAUAAUAUAUUGAACCGCAUGGUUCAAUAGUGAAAGACGGUUUUGCUGUCACUUAUAGAUGGAUCCGCGCCGCAUUAGCUAGUUGGUAAGGUAACGGCUUACCAAGGCAACGAUGCGUAGCCGACCUGAGAGGGUGAUCGGCCACGCUGGAGCUGAGACACGGUCCAGACUCCUACGGGAGGCAGCAGUAGGGAAUGUUCCGCAAUGGGCGAAAGCCUGACGGAGCAACGCCGCGUGAGUGAUGAAGGUCUUCGGAUCGUAAAACUCUGUUAUUAGGGAAGAACAAAUGUGUAAGUAACUAUGCACGUCUUGACGGUACCUAAUCAGAAAGCCACGGCUAACUACGUG
rnacentral:rRNA from 1 species